GGGCUCGCGAAAGGGUAUCGGAGCUGACUUUUAAUCAGUUGGUCGCUGGUUCGAUCCCAGCACGGCCCACCA
rnacentral:tRNA from 1 species